rnacentral:lncRNA from 1 species
GGGCAGGGUUCAAGACACGAGCAUGUGCCUGGCUGGCUGAGGAGCCUCCUCUCCACCAAGGGACAAGAGCCCAAAUUCUGGAUCCCCAAAGAUGUGGGGUUGCUCACUGGGAAGUGUCACACCAGGCUGACUGGCCCUUGCCCAGUGGCCCAGGCCGGGACACAGCCUGUCCGUCACAGAUCACACCUGGAGCGGCGUUCUCCAUCACCCGACACUCUCGGAGCCAAGCCCCAGGCCUACGGGAGCCAGGGCAGCUGUGAUCACCCCUACACACCCAUUUAGCAGCUGAGCUCCUGAGGCGAGAGGAGAGGAAGGGCAAGGGGGCCACAGUGAUGCUGUGACCAAGGUGGGUGCAUAUCUCGGGUCCCUGCAGCAAAGAAGGGGUCAGGUCUGGCCCUAAGAGCUCAUUCCACACCUGGACAUUGGCAGGAAAGAGCCCAACAGGACCCCUGCCUGGGCUCUGGGGAGCCAACUUGGCAGCCCAUGGUUAUUAAUGCCCAGAUAUGCUCCUUCUCACACAGUCUCUGACCCCAAGGAGCCAACAGGCUGCCCGGGGCUAUCCUCUGGGAGGGGCAGGGGGCUUGGCUCUGGGUCUGGGCCACUCACGAGUUCUGAGAUACCUUAUUUGCCUCACCCACGGCCAUGUUCCCGACAGAGCACAGAGUGCACAGUAAGCGCUCAAUAAAUGCUUCUAUAAAUAACUUUCUUGGUCCACUGAAGGAGCAACAAAGGCUAUUCCUACACAGCCCGUGGACCCCAGGCUACAACUGCUCCACAUUGGUGGGGGUGGGAGGCCCCUGCCUUGACCCAUCCCCUCCUCCCUACGCAGUAAAAUGAACAUCAGACCUCUCCCAGUGGGGCACAGGGAGACCCCAACUCUACCACGCAGGGGAGGUGGGUUGGGGACGGGGGAGGACAGGAAUCAUUGGUUUCCUACACACUCCCAGCCCCCGCGGGGACCAGGGUGGGAAGUCCUAUCAGUGCCAGGCAGAUGGAGCCCUGAGGUCUGGUGGCAACGGGCAGGGUGUUCAGCCCGCAGCCUGCGCUUCCCCGUCUGCCUGUCACCGGUUCCAGGACUCUCACCCACGUGGCCCACGUUCAGAGACCCUGCGGGGCCACCUUCUCCCAAAGCUGGCCUUGGUGAUGAAGAGCACGGCUGUCCCUUGCUCAGUGGGGACCCCGGACCCAGCCCCAGG